rnacentral:rRNA from 1 species
UACGUAGGGUGCGAGCGUUUAAUCGGAAUUACUGGGCGUAAAGCGUGCGCAGGCGGUUGGUUAAGUCUGAUGUGAAAGCCCCGGGCUCAACCUGGGAAUGGCAUUGGAAACUGGCUGGCUAGAGUGUGGCAGAGGGGGGUGGAAUUCCGCGUGUAGCAGUGAAAUGCGUAGAGAUGCGGAGGAACACCGAUGGCGAAGGCAGCCCCCUGGGCUGACACUGACGCUCAGGCACGAAAGCGUGGGGAGCAAACAGG